UACGUAGGUGGCGAGCGUUGUCCGGAAUUACUGGGUGUAAAGCGCGUGUAGGCGGGAGGCCAAGUCUGCGGUGAAAUCGCUCGGCUCAACUGGGCGGGGUCCGUGGAAACUGGUCACCUGGAGGACGGUAGAGGGAAGUGGAAUUCCCGGUGUAGUGGUGAAAUGCGUAGAUAUCGGGAGGAACACCAGUGGCGAAGGCGACUUCCUGGCCUGUUCUUGACGCUGAGGCGCGAAAGCUAGGGUAGCAAACGGG
rnacentral:rRNA from 1 species